AGGUGAGGUGAUGAUCAUGACAAGUGUCCCUAUUGGUUUGACAGCCGGGAUGAUGGCUUUCAUUGUAUUAGCUCUAUCUGAUCCCAUCU